rnacentral:rRNA from 3 species
UGGGGAAUUUUGGACAAUGGGCGAAAGCCUGAUCCAGCAAUGCCGCGUGCAGGAUGAAGGCCUUCGGGUUGUAAACUGCUUUUGUACGGAACGAAAAGUCUCGGGAUAAUACCCUGGGACCAUGACGGUACCGUAAGAAUAAGCACCGGCUAACUACGUGCCAGCAGCCGCGGUAAUACGUAGGGUGCAAGCGUUAAUCGGAAUUACUGGGCGUAAAGCGUGCGCAGGCGGUUAUAUAAGACAGAUGUGAAAUCCCCGGGCUCAACCUGGGAACUGCAUUUGUGACUGUAUAGCUAGAGUACGGUAGAGGGGGAUGGAAUUCCGCGUGUAGCAGUGAAAUGCGUAGAUAUGCGGAGGAACACCGAUGGCGAAGGCAAUCCCCUGGACCUGUACUGACGCUCAUGCACGAAAGCGUGGGGAGCAAACAGG